rnacentral:rRNA from 1 species
UCCCCUAGUAACUGCGAGUGAAGCGGGAAGAGCUCAAAUUUGUAAUCUGACGGUCCCUGGCUGUCCGAGUUGUAAUCUGUAGAGGCGUCGUCUGCGUCGGCCCGUGUACAAGUCUCCUGGAAUGGAGCGUCAUAGAGGGUGAGAAUCCCGUCCAUGACACGGACCACCGAUGCUCUGUGAGGUGCCCUCGAAGAGUCGCGUUGUUUGGGAAUGCAGCGCAAAAUGGGUGGUAAAUUCCAUCUAAGGCUAAAUAUUGGCGAGAGACCGAUAGCGAACAAGUACCGUGAGGGAAAGAUGAAAAGCACUUUGAAAAGAGAGUUAAACAGUACGUGAAAUUGUUGAAAGGGAAACGCUUGAAGUCAGUCGUGUCUCGAGGCACUCAGCCUUGCUUUGGCUUGGUGUACUUGCCUUGGGAUGGGUCAACAUCAAUUUUGGUCGGUGGAUAAGGAUGAGGGGAAUGUAGCGUUGUUUCGGCGACGUGUUAUAGCCCCUUGUCGAAUACGUCGACUGGGAUUGAGGACUGCAGCACGCCCUUGUGGCCGGGGGGUUCGCCUCACGUAACGUGCUUAGGAUGUUGGCAUAAUGGCUUUAAGCGACCCGUCUUGAAACACGGACCAAGGAGUCUAACAUGCUUGCGAGUGUUCGGGUGGAAAACCCUUGCGCGUAAUGAAAGUGAAAGUUGGGAGCCUCUGUGAGGGGGUGCACCGACGCCCGGCCCUGACGUUCUCUGACGGUGCUGCGGUAGAGCAAGUAUGUUGGGACCCGAAAGAUGGUGAACUAUGCCUGAAUAGGGCGAAGCCAGAGGAAACUCUGGUGGAGGCUCGUAGCGAUUCUGACGUGCAAAUCGAUCGUCAAAUUUGGG